CAGGGACAAGCCCUGGAAACGGGGUCUAAUACCGGAUAACACUCCUGCCUGCAUGGGCGGGGGUUAAAAGCUCCGGCGGUGAAGGAUGAGCCCGCGGCCUAUCAGCUUGUUGGUGGGGUAAUGGCCCACCAAGGCGACGACGGGUAGCCGGCCUGAGAGGGCGACCGGCCACACUGGGACUGAGACACGGCCCAGACUCCUACGGGAGGCAGCAGUGGGGAAUAUUGCACAAUGGGCGAAAGCCUGAUGCAGCGACGCCGCGUGAGGGAUGACGGCCUUCGGGUUGUAAACCUCUUUCAGCAGGGAAGAAGCGAAAGUGACGGUACCUGCAGAAGAAGCGCCGGCUAACUACGUGCCAGCAGCCGCGGUAAUACGUAGGGCGCAAGCGUUGUCCGGAAUUAUUGGGCGUAAAGAGCUCGUAGGCGGCUUGUCACGUCGGAUGUGAAAGCCCGAGGCUUAACCUCGGGUCUGCAUUCGAUACGGGCUAGCUAGAGUGUGGUAGGGGAGAUCGGAAUUCCUGGUGUAGCGGUGAAAUGCGCAGAUAUCAGGAGGAACACCGGUGGCGAAGGCGGAUCUCUGGGCCAUUACUGACGCUGAGGAGCGAAAGCGUGGGGAGCGAACAGGAUUAGAUACCCUGGUAGUCCACGCCGUAAACGUUGGGAACUAGGUGUUGGCGACAUUCCACGUCGUCGGUGCCGCAGCUAACGCAUUAAGUUCCCCGCCUGG
rnacentral:rRNA from 1 species